rnacentral:rRNA from 1 species
GACGAACGCUGGCGGCGUGCUUAACACAUGCAAGUCGAACGGAAAGGCCCUGCUUUUGUGGGGUGCUCGAGUGGCGAACGGGUGAGUAACACGAGAGUAACCUGCCCUUGACUUUGGGAUAACUUCAGGAAACUGGGGCUUAUACCGGAUAGGAGCUCCUGCUGCAUGGUGGGGGUUGGAAAGUUUCGGCGGUUGGGGAUGGACUGGCGGCUUAUCAGCUUGUUGGUGGGGUAGUGGCUUACCAAGGCUUUGACGGGUAGCCGGCCUGAGCGGGUGACCGGCAAGAUUGGGACUGAGAUGCGGGCCAGACGCCUACGGGAGGCAGCAGUGGGGAAUAGUGCACAAUGGGGGGAAGCCGGAUGCAGCAACGCCGUGUGCGGGAUGACGGCCUUCGGGUUGUAAACCGCUUUCGCCUGUGACGAAGCGUGAGUGACGGUAAUGGGUAAAGAAGCACCGGCUAACUACGUG